rnacentral:rRNA from 1 species
CCAAUAGCGUAUAUUAAAGUUGUUGCAGUUAAAAAGCUCGUAGUUGAAUUUCGAGAUCAAAUUGUUGGUCGUGCCUCGGUACGUACUGGCAUUAUUGAUUUCUCCCUUCUGAAGAACCUUGAUGUCAUUAAUUUGGUGUCUUGGGGAAUCAGGACCGUUACUUUGAAAAAAUUAGAGUGUUUAAAGCAGGCUCCAGCUUGAAUACAUUAGCAUGGAAUAAUGAAAUAGGACGUUUGAUUCUAUUUUGUUGGUUUCUAGGAUCGACGUAAUGAUUAAUAGGGAUAGUUGGGGGCAUUAGUAUUCAAUUGUCAGAGGUGAAAUUCUUGGAUUUAUUGAAGACUAACUACUGCGAAAGCAUUUGCCAAGGAUGUUUUCAUUAAUCAAGAACGAAAGUUAGGGGAUCGAAGACGAUCAGAUACCGUCGUAGUCUUAACCAUAAACUAUGCCGACUAGGGAUCGGAUGAUGUUAAUUUUUUAAUGACUCAUUCGGCGCCUUACG